UUUUAUUUGAGAGUUUGAUCCUGGCUCAGGAUGAACGCUGGCGGCGUGCCUAACACAUGCAAGUUGAGCGAUUUACUUCGGUAAAGAGCGGCGGACGGGUGAGUAACGCGUGGGUAACCUACCCUGUACACACGGAUAACAUACCGAAAGGUAUGCUAAUACGGGAUAAUAUAUUUGAGAGGCAUCUCUUGAAUAUCAAAGGUGAGCCAGUACAGGAUGGACCCGCGUCUGAUUAGCUAGUUGGUAAGGUAACGGCUUACCAAGGCGACGAUCAGUAGCCGACCUGAGAGGGUGAUCGGCCACAUUGGAACUGAGACACGGUCCAAACUCCUACGGGAGGCAGCAGUGGGGAAUAUUGCACAAUGGGCGAAAGCCUGAUGCAGCAACGCCGCGUGAGUGAUGAAGGCCUUCGGGUCGUAAAACUCUGUCCUCAAGGAAGAUAAUGAC
rnacentral:rRNA from 1 species